rnacentral:tRNA from 1 species
GUAAAUAUAAUUUAACUAAAAUAUUAGAUUGUGAAUCUAAACAUAGAAACUUAUCCCUUCUUAUUUACC